GCAUUGGUGGUUCAGUGGUAGAAUUCUCGCCUGCCACGCGGGAGGCCCGGGUUCGAUUCCCCCAAUGCA
rnacentral:tRNA from 1 species